rnacentral:rRNA from 1 species
UUGACAUGUGGUGAGUAGCGAACCGAAAGGGGAGCGACCCGUCAAAUCGGGCCAUCACACAGGUGCUGCAUGGCUGUCGUCAGCUCGUGCCGUGAGGUGUUGGGUUCAGUCCCGCAACGAGCGCAACCCUCGCCCUUUGUUGCCAUCGGGUAAAGCCGGGCACUCUAAGGGGACUGCCAGCGACAAGUUGGAGGAAGGAGAGGAUGACGUCAAGUCAUCAUGGCCUUUAUGCCUAGGGCCACACACGUGCAACAAUGGCCGGUACAGACGGAGGCAAUGCCGAGAGGCGGAGCAAACCCGAGAAAACCGGUCCCAGUUCGGAUUGAGGUCUGCAACUCGACCUCAUGAAGUCGGAAUCGCUAGUAAUCGCAUAUCAGAACGAUGCGGUGAAUACGUUCCCGGGCCUUG